UUGACGGGGCCCGCACAAGCGGUGGAGCAUAUGGUUUAAUUCGAAGCAACGCGAAGAACCUUACCAGGUCUUGACAUCCCCUGACAACCCGAGAGAUCGGGCGUUCCCCUUCGGGGGACAGGGUGACAGGUGGUGCAUGGUUGUCGUCAGCUCGUGUCGUGAGAUGUUGGGUUAAGUCCCGCAACGAGCGCAACCCUCGACCUUAGUUGCCAGCAUUCAGUUGGGCACUCUAAGGUGACUGCCGGCUAAAAGUCGGAGGAAGUGGGGAUGACGUCAAAUCAUCAUGCCCCUUAUGACCUGGGCUACACACGUGCUACAAUGGGCGGUACAAAGGGUCGCGAACCCGCGAGGGGGAGCCAAUCCCAAAAAGCCGCUCUCAGUUCGGAUUGCAGGCUGCAACUCGCCUGCAUGAAGCCGGAAUCGCUAGUAAUCGCGGAUCAGCAUGCCGCGGUCGAAUACGUUCCCGGGCCUU
rnacentral:rRNA from 1 species